rnacentral:rRNA from 1 species
GAUGAACGCUAGCUACAGGCUUAACACAUGCAAGUCGAGGGGAAACGACAUCGAAAGCUUGCUUUUGAUGGGCGUCGACCGGCGCACGGGUGAGUAACGCGUAUCCAACCUGCCCACCACUUGGGGAUAACCUUGCGAAAGUAAGACUAAUACCCAAUGACGUCUCUAGAAGACAUCUGAAAGAGAUUAAAGAUUUAUCGGUGAUGGAUGGGGACGCGUCUGAUUAGCUUGUUGGCGGGGUAACGGCCAACCAAGGCGACGAUCAGUAGGGGUUCUGAGAGGAAGGUCCCCCACAGUGGAACUGAGACACGUACAAAACGCCUACGGGAGGUAGCAGUGAGGACUAUUGGUCAAUGGGCGAGAGCCUGGACCAGCCAAGUAGCGUGCAGGAUGACGGCCCUAUGGGUUGUAAACUGCUUUUAUAAGUGAAUAAAGUGAGUCUCGUGAGACUUUUUGCAUGUACCUUAUGAAUAAGGACCGGCUAAUUCCGUGCCAGCCGCCGCAGUAA